AUUAAGAAAUGGAUUAGCAAAACCCUAACUAGAUAAUUAUGUAUAAUUGAGGAAAUUAUAUUAUUAUAUAAUUUAAUAUAUGUGAUUUUAUAUGAAUUUUAAUAUAUUAAAGACCCCGUUGGUGAGCCAGGGGCAUUUUGGUAAUUAUGACCCGAGAAGGGUAAAUUGUUGAGAUUAAAUUAAUUACGUGCUUAAUAGAACUAUAUUAUUAUAUAGUAUACCUGUGUUGUCUUUUCAGGUGUGUUCUGACAGGUUGGCGCGGUAUAGUCACAACCGGGUAUUUCGGGCCGAACUGGGUUCGGGCCCGAAAUGUAAAUUGGAUUAAUUUAUUUGGCAUUAUAAUUUAUGGGUGAUAAUCUGAAUUUUUAUUUGAAAAUUAUUGAGUAUGAAUUUACUAGAAUACCCUUGUGUAUGUGUGUGCAUGCUUUAUAGCCCUAAGGGCAAAAUGGUCAUUUUGACCUUUAUGAUAUUUUUGAUAAAAGGGUUGAAUUUUAAAGAAAAGAAAAAGGAAAUUAAAUAUUGUUUGCUUCACUCUUUGCUUCAGCCGACCCCUUUUUCUCUCUAUCCCUAAAUCUAUUUUUUUUUCCAAACUUUGAUUUUCUUGUGGGAAAUUAGCUUUAUUUGGUGCUACCUUUGGAGCUUGAUACUUUGAAGAUUGUUGAGCUUAGCUUGGAUUUGAAUUGAGGAUUACCGGCACCUGGUCAGGAGCACCCGGGGAUUUGGAAUCUCUACUAUUGCGGGACAACAGGAAAGGGUAAGGCAUUAGCUGAUCAGCCAUGAGUUUCAGGAGCAGGGCGAAGAAUGUACAUGUUCAUGCCACUUCAGACCAAGCGGGUUAUGGGUCUAACAGUGUUGACUUUUGUAUUCUGUUUUGCCGCUUAGGUUGGCUAGUAAGAAAGAACUUGUAAUAAGUUUGUAAAUAUUUUUGGGAUCCCAACUAUUUUGAAAAGUUUAAAUAUAUUACAAGUUUAUUUACAGUCUAUUUAAUAUAAAAGUUUAAAUUCUGCGCUAUUUUAAUUAGUAAUCCCGGUUAGGGGAUUAGGGCUUCAUAAGUAUUUUGGGUA